rnacentral:rRNA from 1 species
AAAAUAAUACAGACGGCGUAAAGCACGACCAAAAUAAAAGUUAAACGUUAGAUAAUGAAACCAAGCUGGGCUGUAAAAAGCCAUAAGCCACAGUAACCACACCUAACACCAAACAAAUUCCACUCGUGAAAGUUAGGACACAAACUAAGAUUAGAUACCUUACUAUGCCUAACCGUAACAUAACAAUUAAAUCACCCAUUGUUCGCCAAAUAACUACGAGUAAAAACUUAAAAUUUAAAAGACUUGACGGUACCCCACAACAGCCUAGAGGAGCCUGUCUAUUAACCGAUACUCCACGAUUAACCUCACCGCCCCUGGCCAACCAGUCUAUAUACCGCCGUCGCCAGCUUACCUUGUGAAAGAAAAAAAGUAAGCAAAAUAGCAACCACACUAACACGACAGGUCGAGGUGUAACUAAUGGGGCGGGCCAAGAUGGGCUACAUUUUCUACUACAGAACAAACGAAUAAACUAUGAAAAAGAAACUGAAGGCGGAUUUAGUAGUACAUUGGGAACAAACAUACCCAAUCGAAACCUAUGCAAUGGGGUGCGUACACACCGCCCGUCAUCCCUGUUGACAAACAAAACUCAUCCAUAAA